rnacentral:rRNA from 1 species
AGGCAAUAGAUACCCGGGUAGUCCAUGCCGUAAACGUUGGGAACUAGGUGUGGGUCUCAUUCCACGAGAUCCGUGCCGCAGCUAACGCAUUAAGUUCCCCGCCUGGGGAGUACGGCCGCAAGGCUAAAACUCAAAGGAAUUGACGGGGGCCCGCACAAGCGGCGGAGCAUGCGGAUUAAUUCGAUGCAACGCGAAGAACCUUACCAAGGCUUGACAUAUGCGAGAACGCGGCAGAGAUGUCGUUCUCUUUGGACACUCGCAUACAGGUGGUGCAUGGUUGUCGUCAGCUCGUGUCGUGAGAUGUUGGGUUAAGUCCCGCAACGAGCGCAACCCUCGUUCUAUGUUGCCAGCACGUGAUGGUGGGGACUCAUAGGAGACUGCCGGGGUCAACUCGGAGGAAGGUGGGGAUGACGUCAAAUCAUCAUGCCCCUUAUGUCUUGGGCUUCACGCAUGCUACAAUGGCCGGUACAAAGGGCUGCGAUACCGCGAGGUGGAGCGAAUCCCAAAAACCGGUACGUCAGUUCGGUA